UUUCCUUUUUGGGAACAUGUUAUAAAAUUGGAACGAUAUAGCGAAUAUUAAGAUGGCCCCUGCGCAAGGAUGACACACAAAUCAAGAAAUACAUUUUAUUUUG
rnacentral:snRNA from 1 species